rnacentral:tRNA from 1 species
AGUUUUAUAGUCAAUAUUGAUAUUAAAUUGCAAAUUUAAAGGUGAAAUUUUUUUCUAAAGCUU